rnacentral:rRNA from 1 species
CCUACGGGAGGCAGCAGUGGGGAAUCUUGCGCAAUGGGGGAAACCCUGACGCAGCAACGCCGCGUGGGUGAUGAAGGCCUUCGGGUCGUAAAGCCCUGUCAGGUGGGAAGAAACUUGUGGAUGUUAAUACCAUCCAUGCUUGACGGUACCACCGGAGGAAGCACCGGCUAACUCCGUGCCAGCAGCCGCGGUAAUACGGAGGGUGCAAGCGUUGUUCGGAAUUAUUGGGCGUAAAGCGCGUGUAGGUGGUCGUGUAAGUCAGAUGUGAAAGCCUUCUGCUUAACAGAAGAAGGGCAUUUGAAACUGCUCGACUAGAGUACGGGAGAGGAGAGUGGAAUUCCCGGUGUAGAGGUGAAAUUCGUAGAUAUCGGGAGGAACACCAGUGGCGAAGGCGGCUCUCUGGUCCGAUACUGACGCUGAGACGCGAAAGCGUGGGGAGCAAACAGGAUUAGAUACCCUGGUAGUCCACGCCGUAAACGAUGAGCACUAGGUGUAGCGGGUAUUGACCCCUGCUGUGCCGUAGCUAACGCAUUAAGUGCUCCGCCUGGGGAUUACGGUCGCAAGACUAAAACUCAAAGGAAUUGACGG